GGCCACCGUGUCCUUUUUUGUCCAUAGGUGUAUGUAAAUUAAACAUGCUGAGGUCCUCCUACACCUUCAUUCUGUUGGUGCUGGUUUUGAUGCUGGAGGAGUGUUGUUUGAAGUCAUUCUGGCGAUUGCGCUCUGGGGUUUCUGUGGUGUCGAAGUGGCUGCAAUGGUGGUGUUCCUUGUGAGUUUGGAUGUUGCCAAGUAGUUCGUCAGGUGGAUGGUCAUGGUCCUCGCGAUGUUGAAUUAUACCCUGCUUGCGAAGGGCGUCGCCUUAUCCACUGCAAUGCCAUAGUUGCAUUGGGCAAUGCUCCUCCGCAAACUGUAAGCCUUGUGGCAAACCUGAUCACCGAGUGGGCAGGCACUCCUUAGUACGUAGCUGGUUGAUAGAACUUUGCGACGAAGUUCAUUAUCAAGCGAGCAAGCACUCCCCGGCACUUGUGCUCACUAGGAUCUAGUUGGUGAGAACCCGGACUAGGUCAGUGGAGGGAGAUACUGCGAGAGCACCAAAUCAUCGACUUCAAAUUCAAAAAUUCUGCUCAUUUGCUCUGAAUUUUUUGUACUCCCGUUUGUAUCCAUCAUGCUUACAAUGUGCUCUGGUGUCGAGAUCUUGUAUAUUAUAAUCCAUAUUGUAUUGUGUUAA